rnacentral:rRNA from 1 species
AGCUCUCAAAAUGCAUAGAAUUAUUGCUGCGGUUAAAAAGCUCGUAGUUGGAUUUACGCCGGGCGGGGGUGCAUCCCACGGGCUGUCACUGCCGCCUGGCUUCUGGUCGGGGCAUCUCGCAUGCGCCGACGCGUUUACUUUGAACAAAUCAGAGUGCUCAACACAGGCGUCACGCCUGAAUGUUCGUGCAUGGAAUAAUAGAAGAGGAUUUCAUUCGCUUUUAUUGGUUAUACGAGUGAGAUAAUGGUUAAUAGAGACAAACGGGGGCAUCCGUACCGCUGCGUGAGAGGUGAAAUUCUUGGACCGCAGCGAGACGCACGACAGCGAAAGCACUUGCCAAGCGUGUCUUCA